rnacentral:rRNA from 1 species
AGUGAACGCUGGCGGUAGGCCUAACACAUGCAAGUCGAACGGCAGCACAGAGGAGCUUGCUCCUUGGGUGGCGAGUGGCGGACGGGUGAGGAAUACAUCGGAAUCUACUCUGUCGUGGGGGAUAACGUAGGGAAACUUACGCUAAUACCGCAUACGACCUACGGGUGAAAGCAGGGGAUCUUCGGACCUUGCGCGAUUGAAUGAGCCGAUGUCGGAUUAGCUAGUUGGCGGGGUAAAGGCCCACCAAGGCGACGAUCCGUAGCUGGUCUGAGAGGAUGAUCAGCCACACUGGAACUGAGACACGGUCCAGACUCCUACGGGAGGCAGCAGUGGGGAAUAUUGGACAAUGGGCGCAAGCCUGAUCCAGCCAUACCGCGUGGGUGAAGAAGGCCUUCGGGUUGUAAAGCCCUUUUGUUGGGAAAGAAAUCCAUCUGGUUAAUACCCGGGUGGGAUGACGGUACCCAAAGAAUAAGCACCGGCUAACUUCGUGCCAGCCGCCGUAACAC